GGACGCCAUCAACAAUGUUUCGGAUGUCUUCAAAUGUGAAAUUUGAAGAAUUAUUAUUUAAUAAUGUAUUGUAAACGUAUCUGUAUUAUCCCUGCCUGUAUAUAUGGAUUAGCUUCAGACACAACCUUAACGAUUACGUACAAGUUGACGUUAUCGCUAGAUUUGUGUGUCUUUUAAGAUACGUUUACUGUAUUGGACAAACCUUGACCACCUUAUUUUGGAUUUAUUAAACUAUUUCUCAUUUGCACUGUGCUGCAGGCGGCAGUGGUUGGUCCAGCACUUUCGGACGGAGAUCACCUAGCGGUUAGCCUUGGCAAGUUCCUCAUGUCUGAAGACUCGAGAAGCAAGGCAGAAUGGAGUGGGAUGAUGCUAAAUCAAAGGAAAAAUGUUGGGAAUGUGGCAAACAAUUUAGCGAAUUGACAACCUUGAUGUCUCACUACAAAAGCCACAAAAUCAGAGCCACCUGCCACAUCUGCAAGGUUAAUUUCAAACGCCUGACGUCCCUCUCCAUGCACCUGAAUAAUGUACACUCGCCGCCCCUCUGCAAAAAGUGCCAUCAAGUUUUCAGUACUGUGUGGGAUUUAAAUACGCAUGCAGAGACUUAUUGCUUGGGAUCAACGCCACUUCAAGAAACUCCCCCCAUGAUUUCUUCAGUCAUACAUCCGAGUCAGAAUGGUGACAACUUUAGUAAUGACGAGACUUCACAGCAAAGCACAGAGUCAGGGCUGUGUGACUCAGAGUCAGAAUUGAGGCCUGAACAACUAAUUGAGAUGAGGCCUGAGAUGGCUGGGAAACCUGAAAACAGUGUAGAGUUUACAGUGGUUAAGGAUAAUGAAGACAUUGCUGUGGAAGAAGAUUGGGAGGAAGCAAAUGAUUCAUCAAGCACUGAAUCUGCCGACGAAGUGAAGUCAUGCUCUCAGCUUGCAGAGUUGUGUUCAGAUGAUCCCGAAUCAGAGGGUGAUUCGAGUUCUACCGAUUGUUCCAGUGACUCUUCUCAUAGUUUGCACUCUAAACACUGCCCUGCAGCAGUUCCUACUGAUAGCGGUUCAAUGUGUGAGGCAUGUGGUAAAGGGCCAUACCGUUCACUGAAGCUCCAUUUGCUGCACUGUAGUGGUAUAAAGGUAAAAUAUCAGUGCACAGUUUGCAAGAACCUUUUUAUAACUGAGGCCUAUCUUAAAGAACACUACAUGCCUUUGUAUUCCUGUGAAGUCUGUGGCCAGGUUUUCCCUCACAAGAACUCGUACCGUCAUUACCAGUGUCCCAUGGGAACCAAAUUGCAUCUAGUUCUCUUUUGUGCCGAGUCAAUGCCGCAAGUGUGUAAGAUAUGCAAGUCCUUUUAUAAUUCUGAGAAAAGCCUGUUAGACCACAUCACUAGCAUUCACACAUCAGUGGUCAGCACCAAGGUGUGCAUUAUAACCGAUCCAUCUGCGUUGACAGAUGAAAAGCUUUCUUUAGGUGGCACACAAGCCACAAGUAGUCCACAUUUUGUCAAUCGGGUUGUGAAUGGGAAGCUCUGUGUUGGACAGACCCAUGCAGGUACUCUCUAUGCUAGUCCUUCCUCUUUAUUGAACUCCUCCUGCACAGGUAGAAUCCCUGCCUCUCUGUGCAUGGCGUCCUCUACUGCACCUGUCAAAGUGUGGAAAGAUGGCAGCACAGAUCAAACACACGCCCAUUUAAGCCCUCUGUCUACACCCAGUGCCACUGCUGCCUCCCACCAUGUCAACCCACCAGCGACCACCAUUUUGGCCAUGUUUAAGAACAACAGCCAGGAUGUAGCUUUGAAGAAACGUUUGAACAAAGGCUGGCGCUCCAAGGCCUCAUACCCCUGCCGGCAGUGCGGCGCCAUCUUACGGCAGCGCUCCUUCAUCAUCAGCCACCGCUACCUCCACAGAGGCCAGCGCACACACCAGUGCCAGUGCGGCCGAGCCUUUAAGCACCGGCUGCACCUGCUGCGGCAUUGCGUUCAGCACGCGGAGACCGUGAGCUACAUCUGUGUCAGCUGCGGGGAGACUUUCACAGGGGCCAAACUCUUAGCUGAGCACAUGAAAGGCAAGUCACAGAAGAGUUUUCAUUCUGGACGUACUCGGAAAUGUAAAGUUAAGAAGAAGUGCAGACUGUCUUUAACAUGUGUCUGUGGACAGAUCUUUUUUAGGCCUUCGGCUUACAUAUGGCACCAACUGAAAAACAGGGCAAAAGCGAAACGAUUGAAGAAGCCGGUUCAAUAAUGAAGCAGACACAUCCCUGGUUCCUCCAUUGUUUUUAUCAACCUAUCAUUCUCUAGCUUUCUGCACAACACUUUAAAACAAAGUGUUGAAUGAAAAGGGAUGUUGUAAGACAAAAUCAAAGCAAAAUCGCAUACAUUUUUAAUGUCUUUUAUUUAUAAGCAUGUCCUGGAUGGUUGUUAACAUGUUUUCACCAUGUGCAAAUGAUACAUAGUAAACAAUGUUAGUUAUUUGAACCGUACAAAUGAACCAACAAGGAACUUUUUCAGUAUUGGGUUAAAUGAAAACACUCCAGUUUUGCUAUACAUUUCAUCCAGUUUUGUUAUUUUUUUCAUGAAGUUUCACAUUUUUAGCAGUGAGUUUCUGAGUCCUCUUGAUUGGUUUUAAAUGCAGCUUAUUCAAAUGUUAUGCCUGUUUGAGACAUUGUACAGGCCUUGGUAUGCAGGUUGAAAAUAGCACAUGACAUUUUUUAUCGUAUAAUCUUCAUGGUUUUAGUGUUAACUGUCCUCAGUAUUAUCUAUGUUUACUGAAAUAAUAUCCACUAGAUGGAGCUGGUGGUGUGCAACUCACUCUCAGAACAGGUGUAAACUUUUUCCUGCAGCAGAGGAUUACAACACAAACCAUACACAUUCACUCAAGAGGCCCAAUGAUUUUCAGAUUGAAAUAAAGUUCCCACAAUACUCGA